rnacentral:rRNA from 1 species
UGGGGAAUAUUGGACAAUGGGGGGAACCCUGAUCCAGCCAUGCCGCGUGUGUGAAGAAGGCCUUAUGGUUGUAAAGCACUUUAAGCGAGGAGGAGGCUCUUUUGGUUAAUACCCAAGAUGAGUGGACGUUACUCGCAGAAUAAGCACCGGCUAACUCUGUGCCAGCAGCCGCGGUAAUACAGAGGGUGCGAGCGUUAAUCGGAAUUACUGGGCGUAAAGCGCGCGUAGGUGGUUCGUUAAGUUGAAUGUGAAAGCCCCGGGCUCAACCUGGGAACUGCAUCCAAAACUGGCGAGCUAGAGUAGGGCAGAGGGUGGUGGAAUUUCCUGUGUAGCGGUGAAAUGCGUAGAUAUAGGAAGGAACACCAGUGGCGAAGGCGACCACCUGGGCUCAUACUGACACUGAGGUGCGAAAGCGUGGGGAGCAAACAGG